rnacentral:rRNA from 1 species
CACGUAGGGUGCAAGCGUUGUCCGGAAUUAUUGGGCGUAAAGAGCUCGUAGGCGGUUUGUCGCGUCUGCUGUGAAAACUCGGGGCUUAACCCCGGGCCUGCAGUGGGUACGGGCAGACUAGAGUGCGGUAGGGGAGACUGGAAUUCCUGGUGUAGCGGUGAAAUGCGCAGAUAUCAGGAGGAACACCGGUGGCGAAGGCGGGUCUCUGGGCCGUAACUGACGCUGAGGAGCGAAAGCAUGGGUAGCGAACAGG